UACGUAGGGUGCGAGCGUUGUCCGGAAUUAUUGGGCGUAAAGAGCUCGUAGGCGGCCUGUCGCGUCUGCUGUGAAAGCCCGGGGCUCAACUCCGGGUCUGCAGUGGAUACGGGCAGGCUAGAGUCCGGCAGGGGAGACUGGAAUUCCUGGUGUAGCGGUGAAAUGCGCAGAUAUCAGGAGGAACACCGGUGGCGAAGGCGGGUCUCUGGGCCGGUACUGACGCUGAGGAGCGAAAGCGUGGGGAGCGAACAGG
rnacentral:rRNA from 1 species